UUGUUUGAUUUACUUUAAGACUCAGACGCAAAGACGCAGAGUAGAAAAAAUCUCCGGGGCCGACGAGCUCGCGCUCGCCUGGCGCCCCGAAGCAACCAGGUCAGUUCGCAAAGGGUUGGAGGUCAGACCCCAAAGGGGCCUGCCAGUCGGUAAUGAUCCCUCCGCAGGUUCACCUACGGAGA
rnacentral:misc_RNA from 1 species